CCUCUUGAUGAUGGUGAACUCAUCGAGCACAUCCUCACGGGCUUGAAUGCAGAAUUCGAGUCCCUGGUUUCGGCCCUUGUCACAAGGGUUGAACCAAUCUCGGUUGAGGAGCUGUACUCUCAACUACUCACCUUCGAGA